rnacentral:lncRNA from 1 species
CAGGAACUCAAAUCCCAGUUGAGUAGAGGAGGAAAUUCUCAAGUGUACAGGGCAUCUUUGUUGGCAACUUAUUGGAUUCAUGGCCACUUAACAAACUCUGUAAGUCAGCUGGCGGCAGAGGCCACUUACUCAUUGCUGAGCCAAGUAUCUUAGAGGCUCGGCUUCAAGGGAUGAUGAGAAUUUACCUGCUUAUUCGUGAGGCAAAGGGGAUUAAUCUAGGCCUAAACAAGGCCAAGACAAAGCUGAUUGACUGACUGCGUGGUUUGAUGGAAAAUAGGAGAUAUUUCCAGAGAACAGAUGACAAUCCAUUUGGCAAGUCUCCAAUUUGAUUUGCUGCCAAUAGAUUCAGAAAUGGAAGUCAAAGAAGAUAGGCAUUUCAAGAAUGGACUAUCUUAAUUUGGAAAACAUGACUUUUUACUUAUUGAAAAGCUUACUGAUUUUCUGUUGAUUUCUGUAAGCAACAAAAAAAGUUAUUUAAAAGGUUAAGGGGUUUCUUAAGAGACUGUCAUUAUCCAUGCAAUGCCUGUUGUUUCUUGGCAUAAGAAUGCCCCUAUGUAGUUUUAGAUUCUAUAACAUUGACAUAAUUCCUAACACAAUCAUGGAUAUAAAGCAAUAUCUAUUAUGGUGCUUCUUUUAGAUAUGGUGGUUUUUAAAAGUUAUGUCAUUUAAAUCUCUAAUAACCCUGUGAAAUAAAUACUAUGGUUGCAUAUAGUAAAAAUCUAACAAAAAUACUUUAUUGUUAAACUUGGCAUUAUAUUGAAUAUUUUUCUAUAAAAUUUGACCAGUCAACUAUCUAUAU